UACAGAGGUCUCAAGCGUUGUUCGGAUUCAUUGGGCGUAAAGGGUGCGUAGGCGGCGCGGUAAGUCGGGUGUGAAAUCUCGGAGCUUAACUCCGAAACUGCAUUCGAUACUGCCGUGCUUGAGGACUGGAGAGGAGACUGGAAUUUACGGUGUAGCGGUGAAAUGCGUAGAUAUCGUAAGGAAGAACCAGUGGCGAAAGGCGGGGUCCUCUGGACAGUUCCUGACGCUGAGGCACGAAGGCCAGGGGAGCAAACGGG
rnacentral:rRNA from 1 species